UACGUAGGGUGCAAGCGUUGUCCGGAAUUAUUGGGCGUAAAGAGCUCGUAGGCGGCCAUGUAGGUCCGUUGUGAAAACUCGAGGCUCAACCUCGAGACGCCGAUGGAAACCAUGUCGGCUAGAGUCCGGAAGAGGAGAGUGGAAUUCCUGGUGUAGCGGUGAAAUGCGCAGAUAUCAGGAAGAACACCCGUGGCUAAGGCGGCUCUCUAGUACGGUACUGACGCUGAGACGCGAAAGCGUGGGGAGCGAACAGG
rnacentral:rRNA from 1 species